UACGUAGGGUGCAAGCGUUAUCCGGAAUUAUUGGGCGUAAAGAGCUCGUAGGCGGUUUGUCGCGUCUGCUGUGAAAACCGGAGGCUCAACCUCCGGCCUGCAGUGGGUACGGGCAAACUAGAGUGCGGUAGGGGAGAUUGGAAUUCCUGGUGUAGCGGUGGAAUGCGCAGAUAUCAGGAGGAACACCGAUGGCGAAGGCAGAUCUCUGGGCCGUAACUGACGCUGAGGAGCGAAAGCAUGGGGAGCGAACAGG
rnacentral:rRNA from 1 species